AGUGGGGAAUUUUGGACAAUGGGCGCAAGCCUGAUCCAGCAAUGCCGCGUGAGUGAAGAAGGCCUUCGGGUUGUAAAGCUCUUUUGUCAGGGAAGAAACGGUAGGAGCUAAUAUCUCUUGCUAAUGACGGUACCUGAAGAAUAAGCACCGGCUAACUACGUGCCAGCAGCCGCGGUAAUACGUAGGGUGCAAGCGUUAAUCGGAAUUACUGGGCGUAAAGCGUGCGCAGGCGGUUUUGUAAGUCUGUCGUGAAAGCCCCGGGCUCAACCUGGGAAUUGCGAUGGAGACUGCAAGGCUUGAAUCUGGCAGAGGGGGGUAGAAUUCCACGUGUAGCAGUGAAAUGCGUAGAGAUGUGGAGGAACACCGAUGGCGAAGGCAGCCCCCUGGGUCAAGAUUGACGCUCAUGCACGAAAGCGUGGGGAGCAAA
rnacentral:rRNA from 1 species